rnacentral:rRNA from 1 species
AUUGAACGCUGGCGGCAGGCCUAACACAUGCAAGUCGAGCGGAUGAAGGGAGCUUGCUCCUGGAUUCAGCGGCGGACGGGUGAGUAAUGCCUAGGAAUCUGCCUGGUAGUGGGGGAUAACGUCCGGAAACGGGCGCUAAUACCGCAUACGUCCUGAUGGAGAAAGUGGGGGAUCUUCGGACCUCACGCUAUCAGAUGAGCCUAGGUCGGAUUAGCUAGUUGGUGGGGUAAAGACCUACCAAGGCGACGAUCCGUAACUGGUCUGAGAGGAUGAUCAGUCACACUGGAAGUGGGACACGGUCCAGACUCCUACGGGAGGCAGCAGUGGGGAAUAUUGGACAAUGGGCGAAAGCCUGAUCCAGCCAUGCCGCGUGUGUGAAGAAGGUCUUCGGAUUGUAAAGCACUUUAAGUUGGGAGGAAGGGCAGUAAGUUAAUACCUUGCUGUUUUGACGUUACCAACAGAAUAAGCACCGGCUAACUUCGUG